GAGUAUAUAGCUCAGUUGGUAGAGCAGUGGACUUUUAAUCCAAGGGUCUCGGGUUCAAAUCCCGGUAUACUCA
rnacentral:tRNA from 1 species